UACAGAGGGGGCAAGCGUUGUUCGGAAUUACUGGGCGUAAAGGGCGCGUAGGCGGCCUGCUAAGUCGAACGUGAAAUCCCCGGGCCCAACCCGGGAACUGCGUCCGAUACUGGCAGGCUUGAAUCCGGGAGAGGGAUGCGGAAUUCCAGGUGUAGCGGUGAAAUGCGUAGAUAUCUGGAGGAACACCGGUGGCGAAGGCGGCAUCCUGGACCGGCAUUGACGCUGAGGCGCGAAAGCCAGGGGAGCAAACGGG
rnacentral:rRNA from 1 species